rnacentral:lncRNA from 1 species
GGGGUCACGUCAUUCUCCUGCCUCAGCUUCCGGAGCAGCUGGGACUGCUGGCGCCCGCCACUACGCUCGGCUAAUUUUUUUGUGUUUUUAGUAGAGACGGGCUUUCACCGUGUUGGCCUAGCGGUUCUCCAACUCCUGACCUCAUGAUCCCCCCGCCUCAGCCUCCCAAAGUGCUGGGAUUACAAGCGUGAGCCACCGCGACCCGCCAACACUCUUGACAACAGUGCUGUGCUAAGAACUUGGGGGACUUCAAAAAGUUCACCAGUUCCUGUGUCCAUGGGUGAAAAGAUUUUCUACAUCUUUCCUUGACUAGAAACAGAAGUCCUGAAACAAGAAUAUAACGUCAGGAGGCCAGAGGCUUUGUCCUGCCUAAUGUGUUAUUUCCACACUGAAUAAAAGCACCUGAGUCCUGCAUUUUAAAAAGGUUGUACAUCUAGCAAUACCUAACAAAAUAGGAAAUCAACUUGGAAAGCCAAUGGCUGUGUUUUGAGUUUAUGGAGAGCCAUAUGUGGCAAGGAACUGAGGGUGGCAUCCAGGCAACAGACUUCAAGAAACUGAGGCUGUCAGUCCAACAACCCACAAGAACUGAAUCUGACCAACAAUCACAGGAACAAACUUAGAAGUAUACUCUUUCCCAGACAAACCUUCAGAUGAGACCACAGCCCCAGCCAUAAGCUUGAAAACAAUCUCAUGAGGGACCUUGAGCCACAGGCAUGUAGUAAAGCUAUGCCAGGAAUCCUGCCUGCCCCACAGAAAAUGUAAAAAAAAUAAAUUUUUAUUGUUUUAAGCCACGAA